rnacentral:lncRNA from 1 species
CGCACAGAUGAAGAUAAUGCUGGCAGGAUUAGAUCAGAUUAAGCAUGAAUCUUCCAACUUAUUGGAGCAAAACCUCAAGUGGUUGGAUGAAGCAGUAGGAGCAACCUCAUUAAAGUCAAAAACGAAUCAGGGGCCGGGUGUGACAUCUCAUGCCUAUAAUCCCAGCACUUUGGGAGUCUGAAGCAGGCAGAUCACUUGAGCCCAGGAGUUCAAGACUAGCCUGGGCAGCAUGGCAAAACCCUGUCUCUACCAAAAAUACAAAAAAUUAGCCAGGCAUGGUGGCGUGUGACUGUAGUUCCAGGUACUCAGGAGGCCGAGGCAGGAGGAUAGCUUGAGCCCAGAAGAUGGAGAUUGAAGUGAGGUGACAUUGCACCAUGGCACUCCAGCCUGGGCAACAGUAUGAGAACUCUGUCACAAACAAACAAACAAACAUCAACUAAAAAACUGCUACAAUUCAGUAACAUGGCCGGGUAUAAAGUUCAUGUAAAUAAAUUUAUGGCAUUUCUAAAUAAAAGUUAGAGAUAAUGCAAGAAAUGAUACUAUGAACAAAUGAAGGAAGGUUCAAGAGAUGGGUCAUUUAAAAUGCUAAUGAAUGGCAACAUAAAUCAAAAAAGAUGUGAACAGACAAACCCCAUAUUCUUGUAAGGAAAGAUUCAACAU